GAUCGAGUUGUAAUUUGAAGAAGCGUUUUCUGCGUAUUUGGUCAGCCUAAGUCCUAUUGAAUGAGGCAUCAUGGAGGGUGAUAAUCCCGUCCGGUUGAUCAUUUGCGUUUUACGAUACGCUUUCUAAGAGUCAAGUUGUUUGGGAUUGCAGCUUAAAAUGGGAGGUAAAUUUCUUCCUAAGGCUAAAAGCGGCGAGAGACCGAUAGCGAACAAGUACC
rnacentral:rRNA from 1 species